rnacentral:rRNA from 1 species
GACGAAGGGGGCUAGCGUUGUUCGGAAUUACUGGGCGUAAAGCGCGCGCAGGCGGUCUUCCAAGUCAGUGGUGAAAGCCUGGAGCUCAACUCCAGAACUGCCAUUGAAACUGUUAGACUUGAGUACGAGAGAGGUGAGUGGAAUUCCCAGUGUAGAGGUGAAAUUCGUAGAUAUUGGGAAGAACACCAGUGGCGAAGGCGGCUCACUGGCUCGUAACUGACGCUCAGGCGCGACAGCGUGGGGAUCAAACAGG